UGGGGAAUAUUGCACAAUGGAGGGAACUCUGAUGCAGCGACGCCGCGUGAGUGAUGAAGGAAUUCGUUUCGUAAAACUCUGUUCUAUGGGAAGAAAAGGACUGUACCAUAGGAGAAAGCUCCGGCUAAAUACGUGCCAGCAGCCGCGGUAAUACGUAUGGAGCGAGCGUUGUCCGGAAUUAUUGGGCGUAAAGGGUGCGCAGGCGGCUUUACAAGUUGGAUGUGAAAUAUUGUGGCUCAACCACAAACGUGCAUCCAAAACUGCAAAGCUUGAGUUAAGGAGAGGUACGUGGAAUUCCUGGUGUAGCGGUGGAAUGCGUAGAUAUCAGGAGGAAUACCGGUGGCGAUGGCGACUUACUGGACUUAAACUGACGCUCAGGCACGAACGCGUGGGGAGCAAACAGG
rnacentral:rRNA from 1 species